AGGUUUCACAUGUGCUGGAUGCAGCCAAGGAUCAUAAAGAGCACAUUGUACGUGUUUAUGGUGAAACACUAACCCGUGAAGACUUUUUGACAUUAGGACUACAGAACGACACUGAGGCCAUGAUUCUGAAUUCCUGUCUUAGGGUAACUGCACAUAUUGGAUCUAUGAGGAACGUUCAAGUCUGGGUGGCCAGAAGUUACGUUUCAGUGACCUGGUUACCACCUCUUUCUACAAACCCAAUGGAUCACUUU